CUUGACUCUUGUCGGCCAUGUUUAAUUUUUCGUCACUUUCGAACUUGCAACGAGCGCCUGCAGACGCAUUCAAAUCUUCUCUCCACUUUUGGGAGCAGGAAUUCUGCUGAAAUUGCGGCGAUAAUCCUCAGUUAUGAUCCACAAACUCAUCUUUGGCAUUGCGCCUGUAAGAAAAAAACUUAAGUCUUCAACUGACUCUUCUCUGAUUCAGGAUUCGCCGUCAAUCAACAAUUUCCAGCUACAUAUAAUAUUUCACAGGAGUCUUGAGUACGCCCCUAGUUGACAACCCUUAAUGGCUUAGAUUGAUUGAAUCUUCAUAUUCAUUUAAAUAUCGUCGGGAUAAUGCCGCAAAUGCGACUAUUCGAGUGAGUCGGUGUAGAGAUAAAUUCAAUUCGAAUUUUGCAGUUAAACGAGCCCCGAGACUAGGCCGAACUUAGCGAAAUGCUUUCCUACUUGCGCUUCUUACGACUGAAUGAAUAUACAGAAAAUGGGCAGUCAUCAAACGGUUGCAUAGGGUUAUGGGGGGUAAACUAAUCAAGUUUUUGCUCUUUUAGGCCAAUUGCUAAGCUUUGCUCCAGAUUUAAUAUGAUACAUCAGUUGGAAUUAAGCAGAAAAUGCCAAGUUUUAAGCGCGUUGUAUAUGAUAAGCUGUUUAUUUACACGGGUGAUACAAGGGUUGGGGUGUCUAACAGAAUUUUGAUCCCAGAUUUGAUGAUUGGAUAUCGCUCGACAAAGAAAUUUCCAUAAACAUAUCAUGCUGUAGAAAGCAGAUCCGAUAACAAGUUGCUGAAACGAAAGCAGAACAGGUAGAACAUGGUUGCCCCUUUAAUUGUUUUUAUAGGAUGAUCAAGACAUGCGCGCAUUCAAUUCCUGUUUUGAAGAACGAAGAACCUGUCAAAGUCCAUUAGCCUAUAUACUGGAGUGAAAAUUCCUCGACUACAUAAAUUCCAGCUAGGGUAGGGUUACCUGAGUUAUAAUCUGCUGAUUGCAGUGUGUACGGGCGUCUUAUUUUGAACUGGCCUCAACUGCCUUGAGGAGUUAUCCAGAGAAUUGACAUCAAAAGCUUGAAGCGCGUCGUAUAUGAUAAGCUGUCUUGUUAAAAAUUGGGUAUAAGAAGGGUUGGGUCGUCUAACAGAAUUUUGAUCCCAGACUCUUCAUGAUUGGAUAUCGCUUGGCUAAGAAAAUUGCCGUCGUAUUUUAUGCUGUUGAAAACAGAAUUGAUAACAAGUUGCCGGAAAAUUUGAGAACAGGUAGCACAAUUGUUGCCCCUAACUCUAUUUUAUAGGAUUUUGAAGUCACUCGAGUUGAUGAAUGCAGAACCUGAGAAAGUCCGCUUGCCUUUAUAUACAGGAAUUAUUCCUCGGCUACAUAAAUUCCAGCAAGGGUAGGGUUUUCUGAAGUCUAAUCUGCUGAUUGCAGUGCACACGCGCCGCUUGUUUUGAACCCACCUCUAGGAAUUUUCCUGAUAAUUGACAGCACGAUUCCAUAUGUGCUCCUUACGCUUUUAGAUUCUACAGGUAAUGCUUGGAAGACCGAUUUGAAAGAUGGCAUAAGUGCUGCAUACAGUUUAUUCUACAUGAUUCCCUCAUUUUAAGUGAUAUCUGGAUAUUUAACAAACCAAUUUGGGAAGGGUGGGGAAUAGACUAAUCUUUUUGCAUUUUAGAGAGUUUGCUGCCCCUAAAACAUUUUUUGCUGCGAAAAAUUGAAGAUCACGCGCGACAAUUGUUAACCUUGCACGUAAGGAAUAAGCUUAAGCCUCACAACCGUAUUCUGUCGAGAUAGAUGGUCCUGACCAGUAUUACUGAUUCGAGAUGGAAAUGCACCCGGAAUUGCGAUUGCCUUAUAUUUAUUGUUUCUCCUUGCCGGACGUCACGAAAGAUUGCGAUAGAAAUGCCUCUUCGGGUAGCGGAAAGAGUUAUAUAUCUAAUUUGUGAGGUUUCAGCACAGCCACUAUCCGUGUAAUGACUGCAUAAAAGAAUCGUAGAGAAGAUGGUCUCCAACUUAAUGAGCGUGAAUAACUUAUGGAUAAGGAUGAUAUGCAAGGAGGGAGGGGAUUGGCUAAUUAUUUCUGCGGUUACAGUAGCGUCUACUUAUUGCGAAGACAGCAUUAUUUGUUGGAGGGACCUCCUGCCAUAGCUGCGAUGCUAGAUACGACUGGAGCCAGUUUAAAACAUCCCUGAUCCGGAUAAGGAUGGAACUUGGGUUGGGGGGGUAUUUUCGAUUAAAGAGCUUUUGUGAUAGGGAGAAACAUCCCCGGACAAGACCCUUCAGCUAUGGAGCAUCCCUCAAAAAUAGGAACCGUAACACUUCGAUCGACGCGCGGCGCGCUUAGCACCAAGUCCCUAUUCCAGACACGCGGAAGCAAGCUCCUGCAAUCCUUUUCGUACUUCGUGGCCCAAAUAUAGAGAACGACGGCCCAACUAGCGAUUCUGGUUUUUUAGAACAUUAUGUAGGCAGGGUAGAGUGGGGGGUACUAAUUUCUAUUUUUUCAGCUGCUUCCAUUUGCAGGUUGUUGAGCGUUAGCUGAUCCGAGCCUUUGAACAAAGUCGCGCGUAGUCAUUGGGCCCUUGUCUUUCCUGAGAGCGUUUUCCACUCCCGAGAGUCCCGGUCGUCAUAACCGCGAGCUGAAGGCAGUCCGUUCACACAUGCAUCCGAGUGGGGCUUAUCGAGAACCGAAGUAAUUCCAUGACUGGCUAGGCAGAGAAGUUGCGUUCGUCCAACCUACGAGAAGAUCUUAAAUCGUUCCACUAUCCGCGGAAAGUCUAAAAUCAUCAUGUUAAUCUAUUCGUCUUCGUCCGGAAAAGAAAAUCGAGAGAAA